rnacentral:rRNA from 1 species
UACGUAGGGGGCAAGCGUUGUCCGGAUUUAUUGGGCGUAAAGAGCGUGUAGGCGGCCCGGUAAGUCCGCUGUGAAAGUCGGGGGCUCAACCCUCGAAUGCCGGUGGAAACUGUCGGGCUCGAGUGCGGAAGAGGCGAGUGGAAUUCCUGGUGUAGCGGUGAAAUGCGCAGAUAUCAGGAGGAACACCGAUUGCGAAGGCAGCUCGCUGGGACGCGACUGACGCUGAGACGCGAAAGCGUAGGGAGCAAACAGG